GAGUUUGAUCAUGGCUCAGGAUGAACGCUAGCGGCAGGCUUAACACAUGCAAGUCGAGGGGCAGCGCGGGUAGCAAUAUCUGGCGGCGACCGGCAAACGGGUGCGGAACACGUACGCAAUCUACCUUGGUCUGGGGCAUAGCCCGGUGAAAACCGGAUUAACACCCCAUAGUAUAAUGGGAGGGCAUCUUUCUGUUAUUAAAAAUUUAUUGGAUCAAGAUGAGCGUGCGUCCCAUUAGCUAGUUGGUAGGGUAACGGCCUACCAAGGCGACGAUGGGUAGCUGAUGUGAGAGCAUGAUCAGCCACACGGGCACUGAGACACGGGCCCGACUCCUACGGGAGGCAGCAGUGAGGAAUAUUGGUCAAUGGACGCAAGUCUGAACCAGCCAUGCCGCGUGAAGGAUGAAGGCGUUCUGCGUUGUAAACUUCUUUUAUUGGGGAAGAAACCUCUUUUUCUAAAGGAGCCGACGGUACCCAACGAAUAAGCACCGGCUAACUCCGUGCCAG
rnacentral:rRNA from 1 species